GAUGAAGAACGCAGCGAAAUGCGAUAAGUAAUGUGAAUUGCAGAAUUCAGUGAAUCAUCGAAUCUUUGAACGCACCUUGCGCCCUUUGGCCAUUCCGAAGGGCAUGCCUGUUUGAGUAUCAUGAACACGUCAACUCUUCAUGGUUUUCCAUGAUGAGCUUGGACUUUGGGGGUCUUGCUGGCCUGUGGGUCGGCUCCUCUCAAAUGAAUCAGCUUGCCGGUUUUUGGUGGGCAUCACAGGUGUGAUAACUAUCUACGCUUGUGGUUUUCCACCAGGGUAACCUUCAGCAGUGGAGGUUCACUGGAGCUUACAAAUGUCUCUCCUCUGUGAGGACAGCCCUUUGAAUGUUUGAUCUCAAAUCAGGUAGGACUACCCGCUGAACUUAAGCAUAUCAAUAAGCGGAGGA
rnacentral:misc_RNA from 1 species